rnacentral:sRNA from 1 species
AUAUAGCCCCGACUGCAGUGGAAAUCCUUUUUGUUUUUUCUUAAAAACAAAAAGAUUGAAACGAAAGGCGGGAACUGAC